UUGGAGGGCAAGUCUGGUGCCAGCAGCCGCGGUAAUUCCAGCUCCAAUAGCGUAUAUUAAAGUUGUUGCAGUUAAAAAGCUCGUAGUUGAACUUCGGGGUUCACCCAUUGGUCAGGCUUAAUUGUCUGUACUGGUGAGAUGAGUCUCUACCUUCUGAGGAACUUUCAUGCCAUUUGUUUGGUGUGAUUGGAAAUCAGGACUGUUACUUUGAAAAAAUUAGAGUGUUUAAAGCAGGCUAACGUCUGAAUACAUUAGCAUGGAAUAAUGAAAUAGGACGGAUUGAUUCUAUUUCGUUGGUUUCUAGGGUCACCGUAAUGAUUAAUAGGGAUAGUUGGGGGCAUUAGUAUUCAAUUGUCAGAGGUGAAAUUCUUGGAUUUAUUGAAGACUAACUACUGCGAAAGCAUUUGCCAAGGAUGUUUUCAUUAAUCAAGAACGAAAGUUAGGGGAUCGAAGACGAUCAGAUACCGUCGUAGUCUUAACCAUAAACUAUGCCGACUAGGGAUCGGACGCAGUUAAUUUUAUAAUGACGUGUUCGGCGCCUUACGGGAAACCAAAG
rnacentral:rRNA from 1 species